GUGCCAGCAGCCGCGGUAAGACAGAGGUGGCGAGCGUUGUUCGGAUUUAUUGGGCGUAAAGCGAACGCAGGUGGUUUGGUAAGUCAGGGGUGAAAGCCCACAGCUUAACUGUGGCACUGCCUUUGAUACUGCCUUUCUUGAGUGCAUGAGGGGGAAGCGGAAUUCCGAGUGUAGAGGUGAAAUUCGUAGAUAUUCGGAGGAACACCGGUGGCGAAGGCGGCUUCCUGGCAUGUAACUGACACUCAUGUUCGAAAGCGUGGGUAGCAAACAGGAUUAGAAACCCUCGUAGUCC
rnacentral:rRNA from 1 species